CGAGCACGCGCGUGUGGCAUAUCAAUAAGCGGAGGAAAAGAAACUAACAAGGAUUCCCUUAGUAACGGCGAGUGAAGCGGGAAGAGCUCAAAUUUGAAAUCUUCAAGGUUCUACCUUGACGAAUUGUAGUUUAUAGAGGUGUUUUCUGUUAGUAGGAGUGGCAAAAGUUCUUUGGAAUAGGACAUCAUAGAGGGUGAGAAUCCCGUAUUUGGUCAUUCCUUCCUAGCGUUGUGAUACACUUUCAACGAGUCGGAUUGUUUGGGAAUGCAGUCCAAAAUGGGUGGUAAAUUUCAUCUAAAGCUAAAUAUUGGCGAGAGACCGAUAGCGAACAAGUACCGUGAGGGAAAGAUGAAAAGAACUUUGAAAAGAGAGUUAAACAGUACGUGAAAUUGUCAAAAGGGAAGCGUUUGACACCAGUGUUGUUUUUCCGAAAAUCAAUUACGAAUGUUUUGUUUUUAAGGAGUUAUGACUUCAUCGGCUUGCUUCUUUCUUUACGAAACUUUCUUAAUGCACUUUUCGGCUUAACAAGUCAACAUCAAUUUCUUUUGUUGUAAAAGGGUACUGAGGAAGGUGGCUUUCUUUUCGGAGAAAGUGUUUAUAGCCUUGUAGCCUCUGCAAUCGGAGAGAUUGAGGUCUGCAGCGUAGAUCCUUCGGGGUUAGAUACAGUUUGUGCUAAGUUAUAGCUUUUCAUAGACAACUUGUUGACUAUGUUUAGUCUUGUAGCUUACUCGCUGAUGCUAUUUUACCUACGCUUAGGAUGUUGAGUAGCGACAUACGCAC
rnacentral:rRNA from 1 species